rnacentral:rRNA from 1 species
GUGGGGUAACGGCUUACCAAGGCGACGACGGGUAGCCGGCCUGAGAGGGCGACCGGCCACACUGGGACUGAGACACGGCCCAGACUCCUACGGGAGGCAGCAGUGGGGAAUAUUGCGCAAUGGGCGGAAGCCUGACGCAGCGACGCCGCGUGGGGGAUGAAGGCCUUCGGGUUGUAAACCCCUUUCAGCAGGGACGAAGCGGAAGUGACGGUACCUGCAGAAGAAGCGCCGGCUAACUACGUGCCAGCAGCCGCGGUAACACGUAGGGCGCAAGCGUUGUCCGGAAUUAUUGGGCGUAAAGAGCUCGUAGGCGGUCUGUUGCGUCCGCUGUGAAAUCUCGGGGCUUAACCCCGAGCCUGCAGUGGAUACGGGCAGACUAGAGGUAGGUAGGGGAGAAUGGAAUUCCUGGUGUAGCGGUGAAAUGCGCAGAUAUCAGGAGGAACACCGGUGGCGAAGGCGGUUCUCUGGGCCUUACCUGACGCUGAGGAGCGAAAGCGUGGGGAGCGAACAGGAUUAGAUACCCUGGUAGUCCACGCUGUAAACGUUGGGCGCUAGGUGUGGGAUCCUUCCACGGAUUCCGUGCCGCAGCUAACGCAUUAAGCCGCCCGCCUG